CCUACGGGAGGCAGCAGUGGGGAAUUUUGGACAAUGGGGGCAACCCUGAUCCAGCCAUGCCGCGUGAGUGAAGAAGGCCUUCGGGUUGUAAAGCUCUUUCGGCCGGGAAGAAAUCGCUCAAGCUAAUACCUUGGGUGGAUGACGGUACCGGAAGAAGAAGCACCGGCUAACUACGUGCCAGCAGCCGCGGUAAUACGUAGGGUGCGAGCGUUAAUCGGAAUUACUGGGCGUAAAGCGUGCGCAGGCGGUUUCGUAAGACAGAUGUGAAAUCCCCGGGCUUAACCUGGGAACUGCGUUUGUGACUGCGAGACUUGAGUGCGGCAGAGGGGGGUGGAAUUCCACGUGUAGCAGUGAAAUGCGUAGAGAUGUGGAGGAACACCGAUGGCGAAGGCAGCCCCCUGGGUCGACACUGACGCUCAUGCACGAAAGCGUGGGGAGCAAACAGGAUUAGAUACCCUGGUAGUCCACGCCCUAAACGAUGCGAACUAGGUGUUGGGGAAGGAGACUUCUUUAGUACCGUAGCUAACGCGUGAAGUUCGCCGCCUGGGGAGUACGGUCGCAAGAUUAAAACUCAAAGGAAUUGACGGGG
rnacentral:rRNA from 1 species